AUAACACCUGGAAACAGAUGCUAAUACCGGAUAACAACAGAUGAUGCCUAUCAACUGUUUAAAAGAUGGUUCUGCUAUCACUCUUGGAUGGACCUGUGGUGCAUUAGCUAGUUGGUAGGGUAACGGCCUACCAAGGCGAUGAUGCAUAGCCGAGUUGAGAGACUGAUCGGCCACAUUGGGACUGAGACACGGCCCAAACCUCCUACGGGAGGCAGCAGAG
rnacentral:rRNA from 1 species